GGCCAGCUAAUCAACUCCAUCGUGCAGAGGUUUGAGUGUCCUGUGUUUUGCCUAAUCGCAUUCAAUUUCUGAACGGUAGAGAUGGUACGCUUAGAAA
ensembl:ncRNA mir-955 mir-955 stem loop